rnacentral:rRNA from 1 species
UACGGAGGGUGCAAGCGUUAUCCGGAUUUACUGGGUUUAAAGGGUGCGUAGGUGGGUUGGUAAGUCAGUGGUGAAAUCUCCGAGCUUAACUUGGAAACUGCCAUUGAUACUAUCAGUCUUGAAUAUUGUGGAGGUCAGCGGAAUAUGUCAUGUAGCGGUGAAAUGCUUAGAUAUGACAUAGAACACCAAUUGCGAAGGCAGCUGGCUACACAUAUAUUGACACUGAGGCACGAAAGCGUGGGGAUCAAACAGG